AAGUUUAAGGUUGGCGCCUCCUGGUUGCCACGGCACACGAAACAGCGUUGGUUUCCAUAUACUGGCAUAAUGAAUCCGCAGCAAAGCGGGGGAGCAGAGCCCAUGUAUAUCAGGUCUGUUUCGUGUGCUGAAUUGUUGACGCAUUUAUUUAUUGGUAUCGCAUGAACCCCAUCGUAAUUAAUCGGCUUCAACGGAAGCUGGGCUACACUUUUAAUC
rnacentral:sRNA from 1 species